AUUCAGCUCCACAGCAUCUGCAAAGGAAGUGUCCUCCUGUACUGGAAGGACAGUGUAAUACAUUGGUCUCAGAAACAAACUCCCUGUGUCUUCUUGGGAAAAAGCCUCUCUAACAGUAAUUGACCCUGGUAUUGUCCCAUCAGGAGUCUAUUACAAAUGUGGUGAACUUUAUUUCCUGUCAAACUUUGAUUGCUCUUUGCAUGCACUAUUUUCCUUUAGUGGUGGAAGCAAGUUAAAGAGAUGUGAUACAUGACUCUAUUGAGCGCUUCUGGCAGCAUCAGAUGCCUGCCACUGUAUUUCUCAUGAAAAACUUUGCCCAUGUCUCAAACUGUAAACCCAUUCAAAGAGCCAACGUGUAAAGAAAUAACAGUCACCUGGAGGUAACUCUUCCUACUUCACUGAGCAGGUGGCAUCCAGGUCCUCAGGCUCCUCCUGUUUAUCGUGCCAAGAUUCAUGGAGAGGCAAGUUUGGGCUGAGGGCUGGAAGGGAAGACUGCCAGGAAGUCUACUGCUCACUUUUCAUCAUGUGAAAGUACUGAGAUAUCUGAAAUUGCAAGUACCAAUUUAGAUUACAUUAUUUUUAGACGUUUUUAUAUCUCCUCUGAUGCAUGAAGGCUGCUAUAAAUGAACCACAGCUCUUCUAGUUUAGUAGAUUUUGAUUCUCUGAAUGGAUACAAGAAUUUUUAUUCAAUGUUUAAUAUUCAGAAAAGCUAAGUGAACAGCAAGUAACCCAGAAACACAGUCUUGUGCUAAUAGAAGUUUUACAUCACGCUGUCAUAUUUUAGCUGCUUUGUCUAACUCUGACUUUCUGAUCCAUCUGUUAUGAGUUAAAAGGUCUGGAACUGAGUUAAAUUGACCCUUGCUGGUAAAGGAUAAUUCAUAUUAUUAACAGUAUUCAACUACAACAAAAACUACAGAAGCCUGGACCAUUACAUUAGGAACCCCAAAGUGAUUUUGAUUAAUUCAAUAAACAAAAGUAAAAGCCAAUAACCACAAAACUCCAUGUGAUACAUUCUUGUUACUUCCUUAUCUCUUGCAAGAAACUACUGAAUCUUUGAAUUAGCUUGUUUUCUUCUAGCAGAAUCCAUCUUGGAGAAAAAGCCUGUUGAAAUUUGUUAAUGCUGAAUUCAGGAACAUUAGAAUUUCACUGUGUGAGUCACCAACAGGAAAGUUUCCCUCCUGACUAAUUUAUUUCUGGGUUUUUUUUUCCUUUUUUUGAUAUGUUAAUGCUUUGCUUUUACUCCAAUACAUUCUUAUAUUUUUUAAGGAAGCAAAAUGCUAAUCCAUGCUCUCCGACCAGAUAUUUUUCACAUUUUCUGCACCAGUGCUAUUGGUUUUUCUAAAUUCUGUUGUAUGGAUCCAGUGUUAUGUACUGCAGUAUCUAUGUAAAGACAUUAGUUUCUCUCUGAUGUUGAAAAAACUUUGCUUUUUUAAUUUAAAAAUGGUUGUUCAGUGCAGAAAAUAACUGAGUCUGAGAGCCAAGUCACCUAUCCUCUUUUUUUUUUUUAAUUAUUACAUUAUCUUAUAGAGUAGGAGAAACAUGCCUAGAGAAUAGUUAGGGGAAAAAAACAGAAGUAGCUUGUUACUAUGCUUAUACUCAAGUGCCUUCCAUUUGAGAUAGAAAAGCUCCACAUGUCCUACACUCUACCUUUUAUUCCCUGGCAAAGAAGCCAUAUGACAGGAGAUAUGUUUGAUGUUCCUACUGCAUUCACUAGCCUUCAUGGUGCUGAUCAAAUCAGUUCAGCUCACCGUGCCUCAGUGUCCCCAGUUCCAAGCAGGACAAGAUUUUAAUUAUAAAAUGCUAUCAACUCUGCCUGUGGAGGUUAUGUAUGAUUAUCAGCUUAUGGUCUGUAGGUUUCCCCUCACACAUUCACACACACACAAACACACACACAGAGCAAAUGCUGAAGGAGAGUAACAGCUUGUCUUUCAUAAGCAACCUGGCAAGAGUUCAGUGCACACAGAGCAGUAAUGAUUACAGCAUAAGUCUAAACCAACAUCUUUUAGCCAGGGAUAGACUGAAGAAUGGAACAAAAGGGAGAGACUGGGGAAUUACAAAAAUCAGCGUAGAACAGUCUUAGUGCUCUGUUGUUCUGACAUCUUGCAGGUUUUGAACUCAGCUUUUUGAAGCAGCUGAAGGAGAGUGGAUUCUGGCAACUCAUUUGCCCGAUCCUUACUGUUCUGCUGUCACAUGUAUUAUUUUAAAAUAUCAUUAUUAAAAACUAAUGUGCUUGGUAUAAAAUUGCCAGGCCCUCUCAAGACAGAAGUUCAAAUCUCCUGUCUAGACACGGAUUUUGAAAGAUCGAACAAGUUUGGCUAAUGAGGAACACCGUGAUAUUAAAACUUGUUCUCUCCCUACCUGCUGAAAGGGAAGGAGUUAAGUGCCUUGCUGGUAAAGGAAUCUGAAUAAUUCUUUUGCAGCUGCUUCUCACUUGCAGAAUGAGUAAGGCUUUUGCUCUCACUGUUGUGCAAGUGGAUGAUUUGGUCCUGCAGUGUCAAGGUUGCUCUGCUAUCUGGGAAGGAAAGUCUAUCAUCAGUACUUGCUGUUUCUCUGAGAUUUUCUCUGGCUGCCAUGUCCAUUAGUGGAGUCCUUCAGAAUUUUUAAAACAUUUAGCCUCACAAAUCCUCUCUGAACUAGGAAAAAUGACAGAAUUAAGGCUCAGAGAAGGAGGUUUCUUGCCUGAGGUCAUCUGGGCCGCCUGUGGCAUGAAAGAACUGGAGUCUUUCACAGACGGGUAUAACAAGCCAUGAAGCUCAAAGGAAUCACAUCAAUUUUUAUUCUGACCCUGGCUGACAUUGAUACGAACACUUAAUUAAGAGUUCUUUCACCUCAUGAAAACAGCUCUGAAGAUCUGAACCUGAUAUGAGAGCUGCCAGCAAUGCUAGUCAAGGCAAAGUGUCCAAUUGCAAGAUCUUCAUGGGAACACUUGCCCUCGCAAACCAUUUCAGUUGGGAAUGGAAUCUAGGUGUUUCCAAGUGGAUGCCCAAACUCAAGCAAGAGGCUACUGCUUUCUCUUAGCUGUUCCUAAGGAUUCCUGUUUCACACAGGGACCAAUCAACAGGAGGGAGAGGUGCUCAGCUUUUCAGGAACAAUGUAAUCAGUUCAGGCGUACAGUUGGCUUUGGCUUCCCAAGUGCCAUUAGUGAGAAAACUGAUUUAUUAAAUGACUGGUUACAACAAAA